UUGCUGCUGUACAGAGACUAAAGGCUACACGGAGAUGGUCAGAAGCUGGAAAGACAGUUAGGAAGCCACUGAUGUCACACUUACGGGAGCAGCUGGGGCCCUGCGGGGGUAGCUUUGGUUAAGGGCAGAGAUAGAUGCUCUGGCUUUGCUGUUGGAGGCAGAGCCCACGUGACUUGUUGAUGCUGUGUACAGGCUAAGUGAGGGAAGGAGAAGAGAGGGAGAUUCAGGCUCCCGGCCUUUGGCCUAAGGGCCUGGGAGAAACCGUGGCACCAAUACCUGAGAUGAAGAAGACUUGAGAAGCAACGGUUUGUCAAGCAAAGUGAAGAUUCCCUUGGGUUCGAGGUGUCCAUCUUCUCUCUUCCUGACAACUUACUCCAUCCUUCGGUGCUUGGAGACCAGAAUAGGGUCAUUUAGAAGGGGCUGACAUAUGAAGAAAAUUGGGUGCCUACCUGCUAGAAUAUUCGAGGUGUACUGUGCAUACAGGAGCGAGCGGUUGCUAUUUGUGAAAACUAAACAUAACAACAAUAUCCAGAUACAAAACUAGACGGAUUCUGUAUGGCCAGUUGCCUCAUUGGAGAUGCAAGCAAUAGGAGGUCAUCAUUCUUACCAUUGAAAGAUGGAGUACUGUUGCUAACCUUUGCUGAGGACUUACCCUGGAUGGGAGCUAUUGCAAGCUCUUUAUUACUCAUGUAACCACCCUUAGCUCUCCAUCAGGCAUUACCCUAGUAUACCCAGUUAGAAACAAUGCAGUGGAGGUCCUGAGUGAUUUGCCUGAGAUCAAAGAGUCAGGGAAUAACAGAUGUUGGAUUUUCAGUCCCUGGAACACAGUGGCUCCAGAAUCCUGCAUUUCCACCCCUUCCUUUCGCCUUCUGACACAGCUUGGCCAUUGAGAGUCGGAACUUGGCCCUUCCAUCUACCCGUACAUGAGGUUCUCUCUGACUAUU